rnacentral:tRNA from 1 species
GGUCUGGUGGUCUAGCGGUAUGAUUCUCGCUUAGGGUUCACCCUACAGCUCUGUUUGCGAGAGGUCCCGGGUUCAAUCCCCGGCCAGACCC